rnacentral:tRNA from 1 species
AGCCCCGUAGUUCAAUGGUUAGAACGAUGGUCUCCAAAGCCACAGAUCUGGGUUCGAUUCCUAGCGGGGCUGCCA